CUCAUCUUCUUUUUCUCCUCUUAAAGAAUCGGCCUGUUUGGGGCCCAAACUGGCCCAGUGAAAAGUGCGGGAGCACUCCUGAGGCUUGCACGAUGACGUCGCAUCAUGCUGGGAGCACGCCCGGGAGGUCUGUUCCCCCACUUCCCCACCACCACCAGCCAGCAAAGUGGUGUUAAAGGACGGAAUGUGGUAUUCAGCAAAAGUCCGCUCUGUGCCAAUACAGCACAGGUACUGACAGCAAUAAGAUGCCCACCAUGCCUUUCUAGAAAAGAGAGUUUAAGUAGAUCAACCAAGAUUUGGAGAACGAUGCAAUAAAAACUAAGAACUUUCUUUGUUCAAACAAACUACUGGUGGAUUUAGAGCCAAUCUCUGAAUGGCCAGCCAGCCAGAGACAUGUAAAAAGAUUUCUGCAUGCAAACCCUUCUAUGCAUUUUGAGAAAGAGCAACUGGAACUGCAUCCCUUACGUCUCCAACCUGAAGCCACUGUGAGAGUUCAUGGCUAUGAGAGAUCUGGACCAAGAAUUUCCCAGCUCUUUGCCGCUGCAUUAAGAGUCCUAACCUUUCACUGCAAAAGUCAUACUAUGCCAGCCAAGUAGGUGUGAAGCGAAAGCUGCUACAACCUUCAAGCUGGAUCACAGGCACACAACAUGGGCUGCCCAGGAAGACCACUCGUAGAUGUCGAUAAACUACAUUGGCUGGCAGUUCGUUUCAGUCUUCAACUGCUAACUGGGACCCACAUAUCUGAAGAACCACCUCUCCAUCUGGAGCCAUUGCACUAUCUCCGUUCUUCUUCACCACUUCCAUCUAUCUACGGCACCUUUGUUCUGGAUUUCUGUUGGUUAUAUUAGUUAACAGAGUGCUGGAUUUGCGCAAUGGAUAUAAUAAGUACACACAUGUUUAGCUCUAUAAAAAUACUUUACUACAUAAUAGGAAAAAAAGGUUACUUUGGUAGAAAAUACAGAAUGGCUAUCUGGCUACAUCUUACAGCUUAAAGAGACUGACUGUUGAGACUGAACAAAGAGCAAUAAAACUUCAGUAUAUCUUUUUAGCUAAUUGUCCCCCCCCCCCGCCAAAGAAUCCCACAUCUACUUCAUUAAGCAUAUGGACUCCCUUUUCUAUGGCGGGAAAUUUAACUCAAUAGCUAAGUGGUUACAUGCAAAUAAGUUGACUAACUAACAUAAACAACAGUUUAACUCUUUCAUGACUGAACACAGAACACUUGCUAAUUCCCAGCAAUUUCCUCCAACAAACUCAUGGUGGCAUGUCCGGUUCUCCCUUCCGUACUUUAUCCCCAUAGCAGCACUAUCAAGCAGGUUAGGCCAAGAGAACGUGGCUCACCCAGACUACAUGAACUGGGUAGAGUGUGAAGAUGGGCACUCAGGUCUCCCAAGAGGCCAGUCUGAUGUUCUACCCACUAGUUACACUGGCUCUAAUUUCUGGUCUCAGUUCCUUCCUGAAGAGCAAGGGCUUUAAAUGGGGUACGAAUUGCAGUCACAUAUCUGCCUUUCACUUGGUUUAAAAUUCUGAUGCUUUAAUUGUGACUCAGGCUGCCUUGAGUGAAAAGGGGAGGCACAAUAUAAAUAAAUAAAAAACAGAUGGGCAAGAGCCUUGCUGUUUUUUCCCGGCGGUGACAAACUUCUAUGGAUCAGAAGAUUUUAAGGCAGUGAUAUCCUGGAGGGCUGAUGCUUUGAGUUACUAGAUGUUGUUUUAUUGGUAUUGAUGAGAGUGAGGAAUUGGUUAUUGUAGAUGGGCUGGAUCUAGCACAAGGUCCCUGUGAGGACUAUACAAGGAGAACAGCUUUCCCCUGACCCAUAGCGGUCAUUGCCGAUCCCAGGAAAGGCAACAAGGAGCAAUUCCACUCCCUUCCUCUUCUGCAGCUGCAGCCCCUCCAACUUGUGAAGCCGCUACUUCACACGGGUCCUGCCACCCAGGAACAGGCUUUUCCAAGUUCAGAAACUGCUGCUGGGUAAAAGGGAAAGUAAAGAACAUGAGCAACCAUUCAACCUACUUUGUCUACCCUAUGGGCUUAGUGGUAGGCCCGGGGAAAGCCACAGCCUAUGGCAAAAGGAAUGGUGGCAUUUCUUAACAUGCUACUGGACUCAAGUCUUGCUCUGCUACUGCAGACCAACGCAGCUACCCAUCGGAAACAUAUUAUUUUAUGUAUAGGUUUGGCAUAUGGAAAGGUGGAAGAGUGGCCUACAAAUAAUUUAGUUAAGAUCUUGGGAAAUGCCUCUGUUAUAGACUGGUACAGAACUUUUGUUCACAAAAAUGUGGCUUUCAUUAAGGCCAUCUAACACCCCUUGAAAUGAAGAGGAAUAAA